rnacentral:rRNA from 2 species
AAUACGACUCUCGGCAACGGAUAUCUCGGCUCUCGCAUCGAUGAAGAACGUAGCGAAAUGCGAUACUUGGUGUGAAUUGCAGAAUCCCGUGAACCAUCGAGUCUUUGAACGCAAGUUGCGCCCAAAGCCGUUAGGCUGAGGGCACGUCUGCCUGGGUGUCACGC